AAGAAAUUACCGUUAUUAGGAUUUUUUUUUUUUCUUCUGCAGUGAAAUGUUCAUUACAUGCGUGAUGUUCUAUGGAUAGCUCAUGGAAUCUUGACUACAACUACCCUUUCCAGCUCAGAUUCAGUUUGUGGAGACAUUUUUUUUUUUUUUUUUCCUUCUGGAGCUGGCUGACUGUGACCACUGGCAAAGCCAGUUUCCUUUGCAGCUUUAAAAAGUGAUCCGGAAACACAAUGUGGAGGCAGCCUAUGUGAGCAGGAAACAUCCUCAAAAGAGCUUACAUAAGGGCUAUGUGGGGUGAAGAUUUUAUAGUGAGGCAUGACGAAUUCAGUUCCAAAUUUUUCAAAAUUCGAAUGAGUUCCUUUUUUCGUAGAAUUAAGGGUUCAAAGGAUGGACCGACAUAAAUCAGGGGGUUCAUAGUUUAAAAAUCCCCAGAGUUACAGAGCUCAAAGUCCUACAAAGAGCAGAGGAAGUUCUGGAACACGACACUCAAAGGCACGGUGAUGCCUGAAGCCGGUGUUCAUUCUCAGCCACCACGCACGGCACUCGGAAAUUGGACCCCACGGUUUCAGCACCCUCCCUGGUUCUGUUCAGUCCCUGGUUUCACUGCUUCAACAUAUCGUUUGUCAGUGCCUGUUCCGUACCUGGAACGUGACCCAGUCGGUGUCCUCAUAAGCUCGCAGUGUCGUGCAGGAAUGGAAAAGCAAGCAAGCCCCAGAGCGGUCCAGGGCUUUGCCUAA
rnacentral:lncRNA from 1 species